AUUGAACGCUGGCGGCAGGCUUAACACAUGCAAGUCGAGCGAGCGGCGGACGGGUGAGUAAUGUCUGGGAAACUGCCUGAUGGAGGGGGCUAACUACUGGAAACGGUAGCUAAUACCGCAUACCAUCAGAUGUGCCCAGAUGGGAGUAGAUAGGAGGUGGGGUAAUGGCUCACCUAGGCGACGAUCCCUAGCUGGUCUGAGAGGAUGACCAGCCACACUGUAACGGAGACACGGUCCAGACUCCUACGGGAGGCAGCAGUGGGGAAUAUUGCACAAUGGGCGCAAGCCUGAUGCAGCCAUGCCGCGUGUGUGAAGAAGGCCUUCGGGUUGUAAAGUACUUUCAGCGGGGAGGCGUUACUCGCAGAAGAAGCACCGGCUAACUCCGUGCCAGCAGCCGCGGUAAUUC
rnacentral:rRNA from 1 species